AAAAAAAAGCAUUCAGCUUGAUAACGGCUGAGGUUUUCUAAAAGAGGACGAAACCUCAACGUCCUGCGACAAACACCAGCUGCUCGGUGACAGAAAGUCUUCCACCAGUGAGCCAGAUAGAGCUCAAAACGAUCAGACCGGAGCGUAACUGAUGCCUCUUCACCUCCAAGAAGAGCUGACAUGAUGUUUGUCUAAGCGAAGAGGCUAAAUAAACUGUUAGAUUUCAUCAGACUGAACCAUGCCAGCCAAGGGAGUGGCUGGAGAGAGCCUUUUACAUAACUCAUCGGUCACGGUAUGAACCUCCGCAGCAUUGAGCCAAAGACCCUGAAACCCACGAGAGAUUACAACCAAAUGUGAAACAACAUGGAAGGUUUGGUGCAGAUGGCAGAGUUUUUAAAAAAGAAAAAGAAAAAGAAGGAGGCCAUAUGGAUCUGGAUAUCGGUCAUCUGUUUAUGGGCUUGAACGAAGGAAAGCGCAUGGGAUGAAAGGCUUCCUACAGUUUCUUGGAAUGUCUUUCAUUGUUUUUCCGAGCGUUAUGCAGCACAUCAUGCUGGAGCUUUUACGACCAUAGGAAAGAGGAGGACUGCUGGAUCUGACCAUAAACCUCAUCCUAGCGAGUGGUGCUGGUCUUAAAAAACAGCUUCAUCCUAACAGCACUCAAUAACAAGUUAAAUCAUGUGUUAACCUACAAAUUAUGGUCAAGCAUUCUGGAGAUUUCUGCUUCAGUGUGGGAGGCUGUGAGUGUGUGUGUGCAUCAGUGGGGGUUUAAUCCACACUGAGUGUUUGUGAUGGAUGAUAAAUGCAUCUGUGUGUGUGGGUGUUAGCACUGUGUGGAUGUUAGCAUUGUGUGGAAGUUAGCGUUGUGUGGAUCCUAGCAUUUGUGUGGAUGUUAGCAUUGUGUGGAUGCUAGCAUUGUGUGGAAGUUAGCGUUGUGUGGAAGUUAGCAUUGUGUGGAUGUUAGCAUCUGUGUGUGUGUGUGUGGAUGUUAGCACUGUGCAGAUGUUAGCACUGUGUGGAUGUUAGCAUUGUGUGGAUGUUAGCAUCUGUGUGUGUGUGUAUGUUAGCACUGUGUGGAUGUUAGCAUUGUGUGGAAGUUAGCAUUGUGUGGAAGUUAGCAUCUGUGUGUGUGUAGAUGCUAGCAUUGUGUGGAUGUUAGCGUUGUGUGGAUGUUAGCAUUGUGUGGAUGUUAGCGUUGUGUGGAUGUUAGUGUUGUGUGGAUGUUAGCAUUGUGUGGAUGUUAGCAUUGUGUGGAUGCUAGCGCUGUGUGGAUGCUAGCGCUGUGUGGAUGCUAGCGCUGUGUGGAUGUUACCGCUGUGUGGAUGUUACCGCUGUGUGGAUGUUACCGCUGUGUGGAUGCUAGCGCUGUGUGGAUGUUACCGCUGUGUGGAUGUUACCGCUGUGUGGAUGCUAGCGCUGUGUGGAUGCUAACGUUGUGUGGAUGUUAGCACUGUGUGGAUGUUAGCACUGUGUGGAUGUUAGCGCUGUGUGGAUGUUAGUGUUUGUGGAUGUUAGCAUUGUGUGGAUGUUACCGCUGUGUAGAUGCUAGCAUUGUGUGGAUGUUAGCGUUGUGUGGAUGUUACCGCUGUGUAGAUGCUAGCAUUGUGUGGAUGUUAGCAUUGUGUGGGUGCAUCUGGGCUGCAGUGUGUAAAGUUGCAGGGUUUGUUCAGUGGAGAGGGAUUGGUUUGCACACUGUUAACAUUAGAUGCUCGAUGGCUCGGAAACUGAUCUGUGAGGAGGAGGGGGAGCCGCCAAACCUGACGCCAGAUUCUCUUUUGUUUUUUUUUCUUCUUCUAUUUUGCCUCCUUCUUGAUCGAUGAACAUGAACAGUUGGUGUCGACGUUACAGAGCAUCAAAAGGAAGGAAGGAGGAGAAGUCUAUCCAGUCACCUGGGACACAAGAGGGAAAUGUUCCUUCUCUUCCAGGCAGGUUUCCAUCCAUAACUCUGCUGUUGAAAAGCAUAAGACCAGGAGAGCAUCAUAAAUGGACAAGGACUCCCUUAGGGUUGAAAGUGACAUUUUUUGGUCCUGCUUGGACAGGAGGAGGCUAACCGAUGACAGAAGGCAGGAGGGGAGAAACAGGAGGGAUGCUUCAGAUUACAGCCUCAUCAAUGAUUCAGUAGGAAGAACGCACACCGGUGUAGACACACAGACAACAAACAGCGCUGUUGGAGGACGUGCAACGAGACACAAACAGAAGAACAAGCUCCUGGACGAGCAGAAACGGCACAAUGGCAGAUGCAGAUGUAUAAUAUAAGCAGCAGUCAGACGCUGAUGCAUGCGGCAUGCAGUGAAAUGUGUGCAGUCAUGCAUGGAGGACUGACUGUACUUGAACUGGAUAUCUGCACACGUGGAUGUAUAGUCGUAUGUACAUGCUAUCAAACACAAACACAUAUCCGUGUUUCGAUCGCUUACACUAUCUCACAUUUAUUUCCUGGAGGCUUCACUCAACACUGACCUGAAACCAACUCUAUACCCUAACAUUUAAUUGUGUAAAUUAUAGGGAAUUUGUGUUUUCAUGAUUCUCUGGUGUUACAUUGUGUAAUGGUGAGCACUCUGGACUCUGAAUCCAGCAAUCCAAGUUCAAAUCUUGGUGGGACCUAAGACUUUGCAACUUUCCUCUCAUGGGACUAACAAAGGAUAUUCUAUUUGUUAUAUACAUUAAGAUAUAAUUUCUUCCUUUUCGUGUCAUGCACACAACCUCAUGGGUUUGCCAUAGACCAGUAUACUAACACUGCAGCAGUACGACCAAAACACACGUUAUUCUGCUGCUCAGUUCUCAAACAAAACAUGUUCCUUCUAUCCAGGUCUGACAAAGAAACUCUGCCAUGAAAAAAAUUCCUGUUCUAAAACAUAAUCAGCUACCAGACAGUAAAACAUCAAAUGAACCUCAUUCUAAAUCACACAGCAAACAAAGUCUGUCCUUCAGCUUUAAACCUAACUGUCUCUACAGCUGAUGGUUCCUGAGUGUAACUGUCACUCAGGCAUUGCUGUUUUGCUGAAAUUAUUCUUCACAUAAGGUUCCACGCUGUAUCUGUCCUUUAUAAAACAAUGAGUUGAUGAACAGACCAUUCUUCCCUAAACCAAAGAAACAUAUUCCUCUUUAUCUCCUGAACAUCAUAGAAUAACCCCACCACCUCACAGCCAUUUCAACCCAGGGGAAACACUGAAAGGUAUGUUUGGAAUUUUGAAUCUGUCAUUUUUGUAUUUUUUCCUCCUUAUAUGUCUUUACAGCAGUCAUACGGCACCCGUCAGUUUCCUUCUAUAAUUUUAUCAUCUCAUGUGUCUAUAUUGCAAACUAGGGCUGGCCUGAAUAGUGGUUUCUGGCCUCCGGAUAUUCGGACCCUAUUAAAGACAAAUAUCCGAAUAUUCGUUCCGCCCUGUAACGUCCGACGGGGGGCGGGGCUUGUGGCAUAGACGGCCCAAAUAUUCGGAUCCGUUCGUCUGGUCUCCCGGGUCCAAAUUUUACCUUCGUUUUGUCUUCAGUUAAACUGAAGAAUUCCCAAACAGCGGAGGUCUUCAGCAUCUUGUCUUGUUUUUAUGCAGCGAAGUGAAGCGUGACGUCAGAGUCGGCAGCAACCCAGCCAUUCGGGUGGUGGUAACAAACACGAAUGGAGGAGCCGAACGCGGUGGGAUGAGCCAAAGUGGGCCAAAGGCGAAGGGAAGACACAAGCUCUGAAUAUUUUCGUCUGGGGGGAGGAGGGGCGCGAAUAUUCGGAUACCAAAAUUAAUAUCCGGAUACCGUCGUAGCGAACGAAUAUUCGGCUAUUCGGGAUAUUCGAGUCCAGCCCUAUUGCAAACAUCCAAUGUUAUUUUUCUUUUCACUCAACAUCUCUGGCAUGUCUGUCCAUUCUGAGGAGGAAUCAAUCCUCAGGUGUUUUUGCCCAACUAUAUUUUUCUUGUUCAUUUUUUUUCGAGGGUAAUUCAGGUUCAGAGAUCAGAGCAGGCUGUACGCUGAACAGAUUUUUUAUCCUGCGAGACAGAUCUGUGAUUUACGACACUGUGCUAAAUAAAUAUAACUGACUUGA